rnacentral:lncRNA from 1 species
UGUUGUUUAUCUAAAAACUCUCUCGAGUGUCCAUGUUGCAUAUGAAAAGAGCUUAAUGCGCACGUAUCCUCCAGAGCUGAUGCUCACAUGUCCCUUCUGUGUCCCUGUGGCAUAUGAAAGAGCUUACAGCUCACUUGUCCCUAUCAAUUAUAACAGAGCUUAAAGCUCACUUGUCCCUAUUCCUUAUUAAAGCGCCUAAUGCUUACGUGUUCCAUGUUGCUUAUAAAAGAGUUUCAAGUUUACUUGCCCCUAUCGCUUAUAAAAGAGCUUAAAGCUCACAUAAAAUAGCAUGAAGCUCACUUGUCCUUGUGAAUUAUAGAAGAGUUUAGAGCUCACUUGUCGGUGUCGCUUAUAAAAGAGCUUAAAGGUCACUUGUCCCUUCCACUUAUACAAGAGCAUAAAGCUGACGUGUCCUGGUUGCUUGUAAUAUAGCUUAUAACUGACUUGUCCCUCUCUCUCUCUUAUAAAAGAGCUUAAACCUCACGUCUCCCUGUCACUUAUAAAAGAGCAUUCAGCUCACUUGUCUAUGUCGCUUAAAAAGAGCUCAAAGCUCAUGUGUCCAUGUCCCUUAUAAAAGAGCAUGAAGCGCACGUGUCUCUGUGGCCUAUAAAAGAGCUUAAAGCUCACUUCUCCCUGUUGCUUAUCAAAGAGCUUAAAAGUUACUUGUCCCUCCCCAUUUGUAAAUGUCCCUGACGUUUAUAAAAUUGCAUAUAGCUCAUGUGUCCUUGAUGCUUGUAAAAGAGCUUAAAGCUCACGUGUCUAUAUCGCUUAUAAAAGAGCUUAAGGCUCAUGUGUCUCUAUUGCUUAAGGCUCAUGUGUCCCUAUUGUUUAUAAAAGAGCUUAACGGUCACACGUCUCUCUUGCUUAUAAAAGAGCUUAAUGCUCAUUUAUCCUAAUGAUUAUGAAGUAGCACAAUGCUUAUGAAAGAACUUGCUCAAAUGUCCAUGUUGGUUAUGAAAAGCGUCUAAUGCUCAGGUAUCACUCAUAGCUUGAUUCUCACAUGUCCCUACUGCUUAUGAAAGAGCUUAAAGCUCACUUAUCGUGUGGCUUAUGAAAGAGCCUAAAGCUCACUUGCCCUUGUUACUUAUAAAGAGCAUAAAGCUCACUUGCCCAUGCUGCUUAUUGAAAACUUAAAGCUCACUUGUCCCUGUCAUUUGUAAAAGAACUUAAAGCUCACUUAUCCUCAUUGUUAAUUGAAGAGCUUAAAGCAUAAAGCUCACUUGUCCCUGCUGCAUAUUAAACAGCAUAAAGCUCGCGUGUCCCUAUGGCUUAUAGAAAAGCUUGAAGGUUAGUUGUCCCAGUCUCUUAUAGAAGAGUUUAAAGCUCACGCUCCCUGUUGCUUAUAAAAGAGAUUAAAAUAAUCUUGUCCAUGUCCCUAAUAGAACAACUUAAAGCUCACAUAAAAGAGCAUGUAGCUCACGUGUCCAUAUGGAUAUAAAAUAGCAUAAAGCUCAACGUUUCCUUCCCAUUUAUGAAAAAGCUUAGAGGUCACUUGUCCCUCUCGCUUAUAAAAGGGCUUAAAGCUCACGGGUCCCUGUUGUUUAAUAUAAGAGCUUAAAGCUCACUUUUCUCUGCCACUCGUAAAAGACCAUAAAGCUUACUUGCUCCUGCCGCUUAUAAAAGAGCGUAAAGCUCACUUGUCCCUGUCAUUUAUGAAAGAGUUUUAACGCUCACUUGUUCCCAUCAUUAAUUAAAGAGCUUGAAGCAUAACGCUCACUUGUCCCUGCUGCUUAUUAAAGAGCAUAAAGCCCACUUGUCCCUCUGGCUUAUGGAAAAGCUUAAAGGUUGCUUGUCCCUGUCUCCUAUAGAAGAGUUUAAAGCUCAUGUGUCCAUGUUGCUUAUAAAAGAGAUUAAUAUAAACUUGUCCAUGUCCCUACUAAAAUAACUUAAAGCUCACAUAAAAGAGCAUGACGCUCACGUGUCCCGAUGUUGAUUAUAAAAGAGCUUAAAGCUCACUUGUCCUCGUCGCUUGCAAAAGAGCUAAAGCUCACUUGUCCCCCCUCCCCCCGCGCUUAUAAAAGAACUUAAAAGCUCACUUGUCUCUGCCGCUUAUAGAAGAGCUCAAAGUUCUGGGGUCUGUGUAUAUAAAAGAGCUUAAAGCUCAUGUGUCCCGGUUGCUUAUAAAAGAGCUUAAAGCUCACUUGUCCCUCUCGUUUAUAAAAAAGAGCAUAAAGGUCACAUGUCUUUAUCGCUUCUUAAAGAGCUUAAAGCUCACUUGUCCCUAUGGCUUAUAAAAGAGCUUGAAGCUCAUUCGUCCUGCUGCUUAUAAAAGAGUAGGAAGCUCACGUGUCAAUGUGGCUCAUAAAAGAGCUUAAAGUUUGCUUGUCUCUGUAGCUUAUAAAAGGGCUUAAAGCUGAAAGCUCAUGUGUCCUAUUGGCUUAUAAAAGAGUUUAAAGCUCACGUGUCCCUUCUGUUCAUAAAAGAGUUUAGUGCUCAUGUGUCCCUCUUACUUACAAAAGAGCGCAAUGCUCAUGUGUCACUCCUAAGCAAGAGCUUAAUGCUCACAUGUCCCUGGUGCUUAUAAAAGAGCUUAAAGCUCAUGUGUCCCGGUUGCUUAUAAAAGUGCUUAACACUCACGUGUCCUUGCUUAAGAAAGAGUUUAAUGCUCAUAACCCAAUGAUUACGAAAUAGCUUGAUGAUCAUGUGUGAAAGCGCUUAAUGCUCAAAUGUCCCUGUUGCUUAUCUAAAAACUUUCUCGAGUGUCCCUGUUGCAUAUGAAAAGAGCUUAAUGCGCACGUAUCCCUCAGAGCUGAUGCUCACAUGUCCCUCAUGUGUCCCUGUGGCAUAUGAAAGAGCUUACAGCUCACUUGUCCCUAUCAAUUAUAAAAGUGCUUAAAGCUCACUUGUGCCUAUUCCUUAUUAAAGCGCCUAAAGCUUACGUGUUCCCUGUUGCUGAUAAAAGAGUUUCAAGUUUACUUGCCCCCAUCGCUUAUAAAAGAGCUUAAAGCUCACAUAAAAUAGCAUGAAGCUCACUUGUCCUUGUGAAUUAUAAAAGAGUUUAGAGCUCACUUGUCGGUGUCGCUUAUAAAAGAGCUUAAAGCUCACUUGUCCCUCCCACUUAUACAAGAGCAUAAAGCUCACGUGUCCUGGUUGCUUGUAAAAUAGCUUAUAGCUGACUUGUCCCUCUCUCUCGCUCUCUUAUAAAAGAGCUUAAACCUCACGUCUCCCUGUCACUUAUGAAAGAGCAUUCAGCUCACUUGUCUAUGUCACUUAUAAAGAGCUCAAAGCUCAUGUGUCUAUGUCCCUUAUAAAAGAGCAUGAAGCGCACGUGUCUCUGUGGCCUAUAAAAGAGCUUAAAGCUCACUUCUCCCUGUUGCUUAUCAAAGAGCUUAAAAGUUACUUGUCCCUCCCCAUUUGUAAAUGUCCCUGUCGUUUAUAAAAUUGCAUAUAGCUCAUGUGUCCUUGAUGCUUGUAAAAGAGCUUAAAGCUCACGUGUCUAUAUCGCUUAUAAAAGAGCUUAAAGCUCUAUAUCGCUUAUAAAAGGCUUAAAGCUCAUGUGUCUCUAUUGCUAAGGCUCAUGUGUCCCUAUUGUUUAUAAAAGAGCUUAACGGCACAGUUACUCUUGCUUAUAAAAGAGCUUAAUGCUCAUUUAUCCUAAUGAUUAUGAAGUAGCACAAUGCUUAUGAAAGAACUUGCUCAAAUGUCCAUGUUGCUUAUGAAAAGCGUCUAAUGCUCAGGUAUCACUCAUAGCUUGAUUCUCACAUGUCCCUACUGCUUAUGAAAGAGCUUAAAGCUCACUUAUCGUGUGGCUUAUGAAAGAGCCUAAAGCUCACUUGCCCUUGUUACUUAUAAAAUAGCAUAAAGCUCACUUGCCCAUGCUGCUUAUUGAAAAACUUUAAAGCUCACUUGUCCCUGUCAUUUGUAAAAGAACUUAAAGCUCACUUAUCCUCAUUGUUAAUUGAAGAGCUUAAAGAUAAAGCUCACUUAGGUCCCUCUGCAUAUUAAACACUAAAGCUCGCGUGUCCCUAUGGCUUAUAGAAAGCUUGAAGGUUAGUUGUCCCAGUCUCUUAUAAAAGAGUUUAAAGCUGACGCUCCCUGUUGCUUAUAAAAGAGAUUAAAAUAAUCUUGUCCAUGUCCCUAAUAGAACAUCUUAAAGUCACAUAAAAGAGAUGAGCUCACGUGUCCAUAUGGAUAUAAAAUAGCAUAAAGCUCAACGUUUCCUUCCCAUUUAUGAAAAAGCUUAGAGGUCACUUGUCUCUCUCGCUUAUAAAAGGGCUUAAAGCUCACGGGUCCCUGUUGUUUAAUAUAAGAGCUUAAAGUUCACCUUUCUCUGCCACUCGUAAAAGACCGUAAAGCUUACUUGCUCCUGCCGCUUAUAAAAGAGCGUAAAACUCACUUGUCCCUGUCAUUUAUGAAAGAGUUUUAACGAUCACUUGUUCCCAUCAUUAAUUAAAGAGCUUGAAGCAUAACGCUCACUUGUCCCUGCUGCUUAUUAAACAACAUAAAGCCCACUUGUCCCUCUGGCUUAUGGAAAAGCUUAAAGGUUGCUCGUCCCUGUCUCCUAUAGAAGAGUUUAAAGCUCAUGUGUCCAUGUUGCUACUAAAAUAACUUAAAGCUCACAUAACAGAGCAUGACGCUCACAUAUCCCGAUGUUGAUUAUAAAAGAGCUUAAAGCUCACUUGUCCUCGUCGCUUGCAAAAGAGCUUAAAGCUCACUUGUCCUCGUCGCUUGCAAAAGAGCUAAAGCUCACUUGUCCCCCAACGCCCCCGCUUAUAAAGAGCUUAAAAGCUCACUGUCUCUGCGCUUAUAAAGAGUUAAAGUUCUGGGGUCUGUAUAAAAGAGCUUAAAGCUCACUUGUCCCCUCGUUUAUAAAAAAGAGCAUAAAGGUCACAUGUCUUUAUCGCUUCUUAAAGAGCUUAAAGCUACUUGUCCCUAUGGCUUAUAAAAGAGCUUGAAGCUCAUUCGUCCUGCUGUUAAAAGAGUAUGAAGUUCACGUGUCCCUGUGGCUCAUAAAAGAGCUUAAACUUUGCUUCUCCCUGUAGCUUAUAAGGCGUAAAGAACUAUGUCAGUGUUCCUAUGGUAUAAAGUUUAAAGCUCACGUGUCCCUUCUGUUCACAGAAGAGUUUAGUGCUCAUGUGUCCCUCUUACUUACAAAAGAGCGCAAUGCUCAUGUGUCACUCCUAAGCAAGAGCUUAAUGCUCACAUGUCCCUGGUGCUUAUAAAAGAGCUUAAAGCUCAUGUGUCCCGGUUGCUUAUAAAAGUGCUUAAGACUCACGUGUCCUUGCUUAAAAUGCUCAUAACCCAAUGAUUACGAAAUAGCUUGAUGAUCAUGUGUGAAAGCGCUUGAUGCUCAAAUGUCCCUGUUGCUUAUCUAAAAACUUUCUCGAGUGUCCCUGUUGCAUAUGAAAAGAGCUUAAUGCGCACGUAUCCCUCAGAGCUGAUGCUCACAUGUCCCUCAUGUGUCCCUGUGGCAUAUGAAAGAGCUUACAGCUCACUUGUCCCUAUCAAUUAUAACAGAGCUUAAAGCUCACUUGUCCCUAUUCCUUAUUAAAGCGCCUAAAGCUUACGUGUUCCGUGUUGCUUAUAAAAGAGUUUCAAGUUUACUUGCCCCCAUCACUUAUAAAAGAGCUUAAAGCUCACAUAAAAUAGCAUGAAGCUCACUUGUCCUUGUGAAUUAUAAAAGAGUUUAGAGCUCACUUGUCGGUGUCGCUUAUAAAAGAGCUUAAAGCUCACUUGUCCCUACUUAUACAAGAGCAUAAAGCUACGUGUCCUGGUUGCUUGUAAAUAGCUUAUAGAUUCCUCUCUCUCUCUUAUAAAAGAGCUUAAACCUCACGUCUCCCUGUCACUUAUAAAAGAGCAUUCAGCUCACUUGUCUAUGUCUUAAAAGAGCUCAAAGCUCAUGUGUCCAUGUCCCUUAUAAAAGAGCAUGAAGCGCACGUGUCUCUGUGGCCUAUAAAAGAGCUUAAAGCUCACUUCUCCCUGUUGCUUAUCAAAGAGCUUAAAAGUUACUUGUCCCUCCCCAUUUGUAAAUGUCCCUGCGUUUAUAAAAUUGCAUAUAGCUCAUGUGUCCUUGAUGCUUGUAAAAGAGCUUAAAGCUCACGUGUCUAUAUCGCUUAUAAAAGAGCUUAAGGCUCAUGUGUC